CUCUGCAUUUCCCUCCUUUCCUGGGUGAGGCUGAUGCUGCUGGCCUGGAGUCCUGGCAGCUGAUUUCUCACUGGUCUCCUGGCCUCUACCCUUGGUCCUUGUCCAUCUGUCCUCCUGACCUGUGAUCUGGUGUGUGCAUCCCUUCAGGGGCUGCCCUGGGAGCUCCCUGCUGCCUCUCCAGCCUCGACCUGCACCCUUGUGUGCUACUCUGCCCCAGCCAGGCUGGCAUUUUGCAGCCAUGCAGCCUGGCUCUGUGUCCUGCUGUCUGCCCCAGCCAGGCUGGCAUUUUGCAGCCAUGCAGCCUGGCUCUGUGUCCUGCUGUCUGCCCCAGUCAGGCUGGCAUUUUGCAGCGAGGUGGCUCGGCUCUGUGUGCUGCCUGCUCAGCUGCAGUGCCUGGCGCUAACCCUAGAAGUCCCUGUCCCUGACCUGAGCGAGGAGCCGGUGGGAAGCUCCCUGCUGCACCAGCUGUGCAGCUGCACAGAGGCCUUCUUCCUGGGCCUGCGCGUCAAGUGCCUGCCGUCGGUGGCAGCCGCGUCCAUCCGCUGCUCCUCGCGGCCCAGCCGGGACUCUGACAGGCUCCAGCUCCACACAGACGGCAUCCUGUCCUUCUUGAAGAACAACAAGCCAGGGGACGCGCUGUGUGUGCUGGGCCUCACACUGUCUGACCUGUACCCCCAUGAGGCCUGGAGCUUCACCUUCAGCAAGUUCCUUCCAGGGCACGAAGUGGGCGUCUGCAGCUUCGCCCGGUUCUCAGGGGAAUUCCCGAAGUCGGGGCCCAGCGCCCCUGAUCUGGCCCUGGUAGAGGCAGCAGCAGACGGCCCCGAGGCCCCCCUGCA
rnacentral:lncRNA from 10 species